UUCUGAUUCACAUUGUCCUAAGGCCAGCUCAAUGAGGACAGAAAGCUCGCGUAGAGCAAAAAGACAAAAGCUACCUUUAUCCAGAUUUUCAGUACGAAUACGGACCUAUCGAUCCUUGUGAUUAUUGAGAGUUUCAAUCAAGAG
rnacentral:ncRNA from 1 species